rnacentral:rRNA from 1 species
AAGGGCUCGCAGGCGGUUCCUUAAGUCUGAUGUGAAAGCCCCCGGCUCAACCGGGGAGGGUCAUUGGAAACUGGGGAACUUGAGUGCAGAAGAGGAGAGUGGAAUUCCACGUGUAGCGGUGAAAUGCGUAGAGAUGUGGAGGAACACCAGUGGCGAAGGCGACUCUCUGGUCUGUAACUGACGCUGAGGAGCGAAAGCGUGGGGAGCGAACAGGAUUAGAUACCCUGGUAGUCCACGCCGUAAACGAUGAGUGCUAAGUGUUAGGGGGUUUCCGCCCCUUAGUGCUGCAGCUAACGCAUUAAGCACUCCGCCUGGGGAGUACGGUCGCAAGACUGAAACUCAAAGGAAUUGACGGGGGCCCGCACAAGCGGUGGAGCAUGUGGUUUAAUUCGAAGCAACGCGAAGAACCUUACCAGGUCUUGACAUCCUCUGACAAUCCUAGAGAUAGGACGUCCCCUUCGGGGGCAGAGUGACAGGUGGUGCAUGGUUGUCGUCAGCUCGUGUCGUGAGAUGUUGGGUUAAGUCCCGCAACGAGCGCAACCCUUGAUCUUAGUUGCCAGCAUUCAGUUGGGCACUCUAAGGUGACUGCCGGUGACAAACCGGAGGAAGGUGGGGAUGACGUCAAAUCAUCAUGCCCCUUAUGACCUGGGCUACACACGUGCUACAAUGGACAGAACAAAGGGCAGCGAAACCGCGAGGUUAAGCCAAUCCCACAAAUCUGUUCUCAGUUCGGAUCGCAGUCUGCAACUCGACUGCGUGAAGCUGGAAUCGCUAGUAAUCGCG